rnacentral:lncRNA from 1 species
AUGAGGAAGGUUGUCCAGUAGGAGAUGAGUUGUGAGGGGCAAAACUGUUUUGGAGCUUGGAGAGAUGCCUCAACAGAUAAAGGCCCUUCCCAUCCAUGAGAGCCUUACAAUCUGUGUUCAAUGCCUAGAACCUAAGCAAAGGUAGAUAUAAAGAACCAGCUCACAAAGUUGUCUGCCCUCCACACACCAGCUGUGGCCUGUGUGUGCAUGCACGGACACUCGCUAAUAAAAAAUUAAAUAGAACUUUUGAUGACCGGCAUAGAAGUUUGACUAUGAAUGAUGUUAGCAUGCGCUCAAAAGCUAGGAGAGAGGAUUUGGGAUGUUUUCAGUCUAAGUAAAUGGUAAACCUUUGAGGAGAUACAUAUGUUCACUCCCUUUUGAACAUUAUGCAAUAUAUAAAUUAUUGAAAUGUCACAUGGCACCCCAUAAAUAUCUACUUUUUAAUGUAUCAGCUCCAACUGGCACCUCUCUAGCUUGUCUGUGUGGGCCUUGUUCUGGCUGAGGUCAGGAGCAGGAGGUGGUACUUCAUUGAAAUGAGCCUCUAGACAUCUGAUUUAUCAAUGACUAGGAGGAGGGACUUUGAAAAUAGGAAAUGGUUCUUCAACUUAAAGAUCUGACAUCAUUUAAAAUCUUUCUGUGGAAAAAAGAAAUGUCCUUUAGUGCUGUCAAGGCAAGGCUUUAACAGAGUGCUCGGACGAUGCCGCCAUUCUUGAGGGCAGAGGAGUCGAUGGGUUGGUUCUCAGGAACCCUUUGUUCUUGUGUUCUUUCCCUCCUCUGCUGCCAGAGACCAGAGUUUAGGUUUCUACAGCAACCAUAGUUGGGACUACAUAAUACCAAUGCUCUGCAUGCAUGUGGUGUUAACUCUGAGACCUUAUACACUAUGUGUAGCAGGGUUACGGUUGCUAUGGAGAUCAAUCUUUGGACACACUCCGUUGAUAACGAUGUCUUUCAUGUGUGGCUUUUGCUGCUGAGAAAAUAUGAGAUGCUGCUGCAGGUUGACUGACGGGUGACCAUCAGUAAUUAUUCUAAAGCCUUACUCUCACAAUUGAAAACAUGUGCUUAUUAAUACACUACAGCUUAUACAACUUCUUUAAAUACUGGGGUAUGAUAACCCAAAAGGAGGGAAAAUAAUGGCUCUUAAAACCACACCUGACCAGGUGGGUGUCUCAUAUCUCUAACCCAAGCACUUGGGAAGCUGAAGCCAGAUUGCCAUGAGUUUGGAGCUGGCCUAGGCUAUGUACUGAGAGUCUGACUCAAAAACCAAAACAAAAUAUACAUAGAAAAAACAUAUGGUCAGAUUGGUAUGGUAAUGCAAACCUGCACUCCAAGCACUUAGGAAGCAGAGGUGAGAAGAUCCACUGGGUUUGAGACCAGUCUGGGCCAUGUGUCAAGUUCAAGGCCAGUCUGAGCUACACUGAGAUCCCUUUCUCAAAGGUUAAGGAUAUAGCCUUGGAUUUGGCCCAAAUCCACAAGCAAGACAACCACACCUCAGAAGCGUACACACACGCACACACACGCACACACACGCACACACACGCACAUGUGCACACAUGUACAUACCAUGGGGGGGAGGGAGGGAGUAUAUGUUAUCAGGUAGGACCCUGAUCAGUAGGUGACCAGAUUUCUAUCCAGCCCUCUGGAAGCUGCCUUAGGAAGAUAGUGAAUUUGAGGCUGGCCUAAGCUACCAGAGCAAGCUCCUGUUUUUAUAAAAGCAAAGGAGCUCGUUGUUGGACUUUUUACAGACUCAGGUUAGAGCCCACCUUUGAGCAUACUGUAAAAGAUCAGCCUACUGUAUGUAGUUCUAGACAUUUAUCGUAAGGUCGGUCGUUACUUAGGGCUGAGGAAAGCACAGCUAUUCCUGAGCUGCUGUAUCUGGAUGCAGUUCCUUGGGCUAACAGUUAAUGAACCUUUGUCUCGGAGAACUUCUCUCUGACUAGUGUUUUGAUAUCCACAAAGAGAAACAACUAGGAAACACAGUGACUUUAUUUUCUUACCUUUCCUUUGACAAAGUAUUUAAGCCAGAACACAAUUCCCAGUCCAAAAUUUUAAGCUAAUAUCGACUUAAAAUUAAUAUAGUGGUUUUAUUUGUAGAAUGUUUGUUGUUUUUAAAGAAUGUGGUGUUUGGUUGAUUUUCCGUGUGUGCGUUGGGUUGAGGGCACCCUGAGCAGGAGUAACUGAUCUUUUGUGAACUACUGUAUUAGAGAAGCAGUUUACAGCCCUGGCUGCACUCUAACCUGAUUAAAAACACCAGCAUUUGAGCAUAAAGUGAAGUCAGCACUUUGGGAUGGGAAAAGGCAUGCCAUUGCUGGUCUCUGUCUCUCUUCACUCUGGCCUCUUGCUAUUCACGCUUGCUCAGGCUUGAACACUGUGAAGUAAAGGGGGUUUUAUAGGCUCAGUGGUCUAGGCUUUGGAUUUACUGAUAGAUGUAAUAAGAGCUACAUCUGGGUGUAGUGGUGCCUUUAAUCCCAGCCCUCAGAGCAGGGCAGAGGGGCAGGAACAUCUCUGAGUAGAGGCCAGCGUGGUCUGCAUUAUGAUGUCUAAGACAGCCAGGGCUACACAGAAAAACAACAAAACAAAAGGAAACAGAACAAAAGUAAUACGAAAUAUAAAAAAAAGUUAGAAAAUGUUAGUCUUACCAGAGUUUCCCACCGUUAUUAUAUUUAGUAGCUACAAAUUUAGUUGCUCAAAAUCCCAUUUUAUUAGAUGUUCACUAACUUAAGUUCUGGAGACUAGAAGCCUGAAAUGAAUCUGAAUACUAAUGUCAAGAUGUAGACAGAACUGUGUUCUCCUGGAGCAAUCUAUUCCUUGCUUCUCCAUCUCCAAGAGGCCCCUGCAUGCCCUCACUGCUGCCUCCAUCACCGGACAGCAGGAUCUGACCAUCCUGCCUCCUGCUUGCAGCCUUUGUGGUUACACAGGUGUCUUUCAGGAGCAAUCUCCCCAGGGGGAUCCACACUCACCUUUGCAGUCUUUGCUAUUGGGACUGUGGGUGUAGCUCAUUAGUUAAGCUAGCUUCCUGUGCUUGAGGCACCGUUCUCUGCAUC